UACGUAGGGGGCAAGCGUUAUCCGGAUUUACUGGGUGUAAAGGGAGCGUAGACGGCGAUGCAAGUCUGAAGUGAAAGCCCGGGGCUCAACCCCGGGACUGCUUUGGAAACUGUAUGGCUGGAGUGCUGGAGAGGCAAGCGGAAUUCCUAGUGUAGCGGUGAAAUGCGUAGAUAUUAGGAAGAACACCAGUGGCGAAGGCAGCAUGCCGGCUUCCGACUGACGCUGAAGCACGAAAGCGUGGGGAUCGAACAGG
rnacentral:rRNA from 1 species